rnacentral:rRNA from 1 species
CGCAUCUGUGCAUGCAGCAUAUCAAUAAGCGGAGGAAAAGAAACUAACAAGGAUUCCCCUAGUAACGGCGAGUGAAGCGGGAAGAGCUCAAAUUUGAAAUCUUAAAGGGUUUCCCUUUACGAAUUGUAGUUUAAAGAAGUGUUUUCUGUUGAGGUUUUGGUAAAAGUUCUUUGGAAUAGGACAUCAUAGAGGGUGAGAAUCCCGUAUUUGACCUUUACUUUCAACUUUGUGAUACACUUUCAAAGAGUCGGAUUGUUUGGGAAUGCAGUCCAAAAUGGGUGGUAAAUUUCAUCUAAAGCUAAAUAUUGGCGAGAGACCGAUAGCGAACAAGUACCGUGAGGGAAAGAUGAAAAGAACUUUGAAAAGAGAGUUAAACAGUACGUGAAAUUGUCAAAAGGGAAGCGUUUGACACCAGUGUUGUUUUUCUGAAAAUCAAUUAAGAACUGGUUGAUGCUAGUUGUAUUAGACCUUAUCAGCUAUCUGCUUAUUUUUCGAGUCUUUCUUAAUGCACUUUUCAGGUUAACAAGUCAACAUCAAUUUCUUUUGCUGUAAAAAAGCUUGAGGAAGGUGGCUUGAGAUUCGUCUUAAGUGUUUAUAGCCUCUUGCCUAUGCAGUCGGAGAGAUUGAGGUCUGCAGCGUAGAUCCUUCGGGGCUAAAUGCAUUUGUGCUAAGUUAUAACAUUUUAUAGACAACUUGUUGACUAUGAUUUGUCUUGUAGCUUACUCGCUUAUGUUAUUUUACCUACGCUUAGGAUGUUGAGCGCAUGUCUCUCUCU